UGCUCUAAACGCUGACCGGAAACUCCCGAGCCGUACUGCGUAGAAAGCGGAAGUAGUUGUGCAAGUAGUUCAAUGUGUGGAUUUUUCGCAUCGGAUUCGAGUUUGCUGAAGUUGAACAGGUGAAUAUUUGAAUCUGCUAGUGUUGUAAGUGACUCUCGAGCAUCUCUGUCGGGGAAGUUAAACGCAAAGAUUUAGUGGAAUCCCAUUCCCAUUGGAUGUGUACAUGCCAGUGCAGCAGCUCAGGUAUUGGUAUCAGCCGAAGGCCGUAUGUUCUUCAGAAGGAGCCGCGGGUUCGAGUCCUCGUCCUCCUGAAGAUCUCAGCUCUCGUGGAGGAACGGCUCGAGCGGGGCAUCUGCAUCCGUCAGCUCUCCGGACCUCCAGCCGCUGCCAGGGACACAAGAAACACUUUAAUAUAGAUACAAACCCAC